UCGAAACAGAAGCCGCCUCGAGCCCCUCACCCCUUUCUCUUUUUCUCUCCCAUGACACGCAACCUUUCCUUCCUCUUUUUCCCCCGAUCUGCUCGUUCCAAUUCUUGGCCAUCGGAAGGAGGCAGCCAGGGGAUGGGAAGGCCGAGCGGAAGAGAAGGAUGAGGGGACGCGGCUGUGAGUACGCCACCGACCAUGCCGAUCGGGUGGGAAGAGAAGUCGGCGGCGGCGGCGGUUUCGAUCUGUGAUCUGCCACCAGCGCCGCCGGAGGGACGGAAGAAAGCAUCUGAGAUGGCUGCAGGGGCGGCGCGGGCCUGGGCUCGGGCAGCCAUCAUGGCGUUAGAUGCGCCGGCGGGGGCCUCUUCCUCGUAGCAAGGCGUGGCCCUGCUCUUUCCCAUGGCGCUGAUGACAAGGCGGGCGGCGACACCAGCUCUCGUCCCGAGGAAGCCGCGGGAGGACGAGUACAAGCCAGACCAGAUCGACGUGCCGCCCUGCCACAACUCCUUCUCCUGCGGGUUGGUUGCUGCUGUUGCUGGUGCUGUUCGUGUCCGAUUCGAUUGGCCUGCCGUUUGCGGGAGGCUGCAAGAUUUGUUGGAACCAAUUUUGAAAAGACUGAAUCUACCACGUAUCCAAAUGGAGCAGCUGCAAUCGUUAUAUACCCAGAAUGAUGCUUUUAUAUGUCUGAAUUUUCACAAGUAUUGCUAAACUUGGCCCUAGCGAAGUGGCAAGUGUACUGCUGUAGUUAGCCUACUACUUCAGUUAUAUGAACCUACAAAUGGCAAGUGAGCUCUUUUUAUCUUUUGCUAUUACGUUCAUCCCUUCUUCCAGGACUUCCUGAUUUAGAGAAGAAUAGAUAUAGUGAAGUGCACUCUAUGGUGUGUUUUCUUUUGUUUCCGAUUAUGCUGCUGCUUGAUCUAUAACUAAAGGGUACAUAGUCCAACUCUGUAUUCUGAGAAAUGCAUUUUUUACUCCGCUUCGUAGUAAUAUGUUUUUCACCAACAUAUAUUGUGACAGGAAAGAGAUGUUUCAUGAAUUGACAAAUAAAUUUUGGCACCUGCUGUUCUCACCUCUCGAUGCUUUGCAUCUGAUAAGUAUGCCAUAGGUUUUAAGGCGACACUUUUGUCAUGCAAAGCGGAACUAAAGUAGCAAAUAACAGAAAUUGUGAUUUCUGUAAUGCACAUCUGCUAAAAAAAACUUAUGAGUUAAGAAAAGAAAAUAUGUUGUCGAAAAAAUUUAGGGCAGCUUACAUAAGAAUCAAAUCCUAUAUUGAUUACAGGUCUUUUUACUAUGAUGUUUUUCCUUGCAUUGUUCUUUUUUUGGCUGGAUUUUUACCUUUCACUGUUACAUCAUAUCUUUGUUCGCCUUGAGGUACAUAUUUCUCUUAUCAACAAUUCUAGCACAACAUUCGAAAGAAAUACUUAAAUUCCUUUUGAUUAUAAGACAUGCAGAGUUAAAAAAUAGUUAGAAUUUGAGAAUCAACUAGGAGUGAGGUUAAAGUACUGAUCCCUCUUUAUCCCUGUAACUUCAUCUACCAAAUUUCCUUUUGUUUUAAUGGCAGACUGGUUAGUUGAUUCCUACGGAUUUCUUCUCUAAUAAGGUCAUGGUGACGUAUACCAGAGUCCCAAAAUAUUUAUCAUUCUUUGAAGCUUUGCAAGGGGGAAGGCUAAGACAUGGAUCAAAUUUUCGGAAACAAGCCGUGUGGACUCAAAUUAAGUGCGGAUGAAACCCUCUGAGGCUCUGACCAUAAAGGUAGGACAGAUGGGAAGCAGCAUUUCAGAGCGUAACGACUGGUGAGAUGACGCCUCCUUGGUCUGCUUCAUGGCUCCAUGGACGUGGUCCUGACUGCGGUGGAUUUUAGUCUUGUUUCCUUCUUUGCAACGACCAUGCUGCUACCCCUCUUUGCUAACAUGUGUUCUGUUUUUGCAGAUUGGUGUGAAGUGAGCACACAUUUGUUGAUCGUUAGUCUACCGCUUGUUUCCUGUUCUCUUCAUUACUUCCUUCCUGCCGUACCACUGGAUCGCGACAGUUAUUGGAAGAUGAUGAACAAGUACAUAGGAUCAGAUGUAAUGUCAGUUAUUACACUUCUAAUCAUCAUCUUUGAGCCUUUGGGAAAAUGGCAGAGGUUUGUACUGAUGGACUAUGCCCUUAAGUUUCCCUCUAUACCACGCUGGAACGUCUAGACCACAAGAGGAACAUAAAACAUUUUGAUGUUAGAGGUUCUCACAUCCUGAAGACACAAUACUUGCCAUAUGGUGUCAACCAAGAACUUUUUUUGCUUUGGCUGUUGAAUAUAUCACAUUUUCUCAAUCUAUCUACCAGGAUGAACUCUUGCAUCUUGAUAGAUAAUCUUGCUAUUCUGAUGUGUGGUCAUGCAAACUUCCUUUUUUCUUUGAGAUUUAAAAAAUAAAUUGUGGAACAGGUGGGUGAAAGAAAACAUGUUGUACCAGCUACAUUUUGCAUGGCAAAAGUUGGCAU